CUCAGCUCUCUAAACGCAUGCAAGUGGCGUCUUUCCAGACUCACGCAGAACAGCUGAUUUUGAUGAGCACAUCAACCACUGGAGCGUUCUAUUAUUAUUUUGAAUGCGAGAUAGUAUUUGUGAUGUAAAUAAUAAUUGAGCCAAACUGCAACGAUUAAAGGACGUUUGAAAGGGAUAGUCUGGAUGGAAAAUAAGGCUCAUGUUAUUCCUCAAGAAAAUGGACAAACGAAAGUCUGAAUCCAAGAUGGAAUGCAUGGUGGCAGCAGAGAGAAUACAGAGAUACAGGAGGCUGCAGUUUGAGUGAGAGGUGCUGUUGGACCCAUGCCGGACCUGGUGCCCGUCCUCGUCGUGCCAGGCAAUGGGCCAGCUGAAGGAGUUGCCACAGCUGGUCCAGUGCUCUGUGUGCAGGCUGGAGUUCUGCUCGGGCCUGCCGGAACAGCUGGCAUAAAGAACAUGCCUGCCAGGACAACACCUUCCGACCCGGGGAGACCAGACUCGCUGGGAAGUAAUUGUGCACCCGAUGUCACAGGAAGACCAAAACGAUCAUCAAGGACAUUACCCACCUGAGCCACUGCCCGCUAUAAUCUAGAAGGCAAGGUCAAAGCUGGAACCGUGUGACUGAAAAACAGCUUCUAUCUCAAGGCCAUCAGUGUUAAACAGCCAUCACUAGCACAUUAGAGGCUGCU